rnacentral:tRNA from 1 species
GCCGGCGUAGCUCAGGGGUAGAGCGUUUCCUUGGUAAGGAAGAGGUCAUGAGUUCAAAUCUCAUCGUUGGCUCAA